rnacentral:lncRNA from 1 species
CCAGUGUUAGCAUCAUUCUAGCUCCUUCGUCCAUCAAUUGCGACAAAACCCAUAACAUCAAUCCCGCAACCUCCAUGCGCGAAUAAUGCGAAAUCCCAGUGCACCUUAAGUUGUUCCCUCGUCCUCCACCAUUUUUGCUCCCUAAUCGAACCUGCAACAAAACCCAAGAACUAGAAACUGCAAUCUCAGUCACGCCUAAAAACACUCGUAAUCUUCCAUGGGAACUCAAGCCAAUCCAGAGAACGCGAAUCACGAGUCUUCAUCCUCACGCAACCAUGCUGAAUCCACGAACCAACAAACAAAUCAUCAAACCCAAUUGCAACCAUGAAAAAAAAAAAACAAUUGAAACGUGAAAUUGUGUAUUCCUUAAUUGUCUCCCAAAAUAAGGAGAUUCUGGAAAUUUCAAGAGCUUCCUAACAACAUUGAACAAAUUUAAAAAACCUGAAAAAGAGGUUUCAAAAGAGGUCUCGGAUUACCAAAGUUGUUCGUCUUGUCAACACCCAAUUUCGUCCGGGUAACUAAAUAAUAAGACUAGUUUUCAUUUUUGUCUUAUUUUAUUUUUAUUUUUAUUUUAUUUUUGUUUUAUUAAUUUUUGUUUUACUAUUUGAUUUAAUUGAAAAAGGAAAAAUGAAAAGAAAAAAAAAAGAAAAAAAUGAUGAAAAAGAAAAGGAAAAAAAAUGAAAAAAAAGGUAAAAGAAAAAAAACGAAAAAAAGAGAGAGAAAAGAAGAGAAAAAGAGAAAAGAAAAAAAGAAGAAAGAAUAAAAAGAAAAAUAAAAAAAGAAGAAAGAAUAAAAAGAAAAAGAAAAAAGGCAACGUGAUCUAUUGGUGGUGUGCUCAUUUGAUUUAUGGAAGACGCACAACAGAGUGCCUGGGCCCCCCUCACCUCUAAUGACAUCCAUGAUUGGCAUCAGCAAAGGGAGGAAUCUUCUUUUCACUCAAGGGAGAUCCACCAUUUUUUCCAACUCACAUCAUACUAUACUUUUCACCACUCCUAUCUCCUCUAACUUGGUAACCAACCACAUUUUUUCCUUUUUCAAUUCCAAUUCCACCAUAUUCAGCAUCCAUCCUCAUUACCCCAUCCUAACCAUUUUCUCCGUUGAUCACCCAACACACCCGAGGGGAAAUCAUCCCACAGAUUCACCNCAUCACAACAAGCAUUGCUUUUGGCUCCAUCACCUUCACUACACCUCAUGACCCAACAGACUCAACAGAUACACUCNUUUUUUCUCCAUCACUCAACACGCACACCAUCCCUCAUAUCCAUCACCACCAAAGAGGCACAACAGAAUUUUUUUUUUCCUCGAACCGAAUCAUAUCUCUCUGGCCCUUCUUACCUUCCAUCUUCUACAACACACCUAAACCAACUUAUUUCUUCCUUCACCCCUAUCCAAACCAUUCCACGCUCACAAUCACAGCCUCAAUCACCAUUUUAUCUUCUUCCACACACACGCACAAUACCAUAACAGAAACCANUCACCCCUAUCCAAACCAUUCCACGCUCACAAUCACAGCCUCAAUCACCAUUUUAUCUUCUUCCACACACACGCACAAUACCAUAACAGAAACCACUCUCCAUUACUCCAACCCGUGAUUCCUCCAACUGGAUUGAUCCCUUCAACCAUCACACACAACACGGAACCUCUUCCUCUAGCCCAACUUCAUCUUCGAACCCCAACACACAACUGCUAUAUUCAUUCACCUUUACCAUGUUUCUCUGGAUUUUUCCAUGAUCUCUAUCAUUUUAUUCUUCAAAAUUCUUCCACCCCACGCCCAUGAUGUAACCAUAGAACAACCUUUCAACUCCAAAAAAAAAAAUAGGAAAUUCAUUCAUUACCUCCAUCACCAUCACACAAACUCAUCUCAACACUCAAAGUAAAAAAACAGAUUUCAGAGGCAGGUGCUAAGUUCACACAAAGAGCGGCACAAUAUCAACACAGAUAUUAUGAUGAAUUUUUAGGCAAAUCUGAAGCAAGUUGCACAAGAUCGUGGUGGCUCUCGGAGAUGCAGCAGACAUAAGCCUAAUUGGAGAAAGUUGCGGCGAGCCUAGAUCAAUGGCAAGGGGCGCUACAGGUCGACGACUUGAAGUGGAACGAUUGGACGAAGGUACACCCAUGGAGGGAGGAGCUGGUGUGAAUGGUCUCAUGGAUUUCGUUUGAUGCAGUUGCGGCUAUGAGAUGGGUGGCAGCGCGAUGGUGGAAGAAGGAAGGCUCGAUGGAGGGGGACACCUUUGACUCGGUGGCAGCGGCGACCUGCGACGACCAACGGCUGGCAUUAUUCACGAAUAAGAAGGUUUCCCUCGCGCGAGGAGAAGGAGGUGAAGGGGAUUUUGUUGACACGGCCGACAAUGACCCUGGCGACGGACAUCGUCGCUGAAGAUGCCUUCGGCUGUAGACUGCGGUGGUUGGUUGGGUGGAGGCCGGUCGUGGCUGUAAGCGGUGGAGGUGAGGUCUCUGGUUUCCUCCGUUGAGAGGAGAAGAUGACUCUGAGUCUGGCGCGUUUAGGCACAAAUGGUGAAAUUGGGGAAACCCCUAAUGGACAGUUGAGUUGGGGCAAAGGACUUUNNNN